rnacentral:rRNA from 1 species
CCUGACUGCUAUCGGAUUGAUACUAAGCCAUGCGAGUCAUUGUAGCAAUACAAGGCAUACGGCUCMGUAACGCGUAGUCAACCUAACCUAUGGACGGGAAUAACCUCGGGAAACUGAGAAUAAUGCCCGAUAGAACACUAUACCUGGAAUGGUUUGUGUUCCAAAUGAUUUAUCGCCAUAGGAUGGGACUGCGGCCUAUCAGUUUGUUGGUGAGGUAAUGGCCCACCAAGACUAUUACAGGUACGGGCUCUGAGAGGAGUAGCCCGGAGAUGGGUACUGAGACACGGACCCAGGCCCUAUGGGGCGCAGCAGGCGAGAAAACUUUGCAAUGUGCGAAAGCACGACAAGGUUAAUCCGAGUGAUUUGUGCUAAACGAAUCUUUUGUUAGUCCUAGAAACACUAACGAAUAAGGGGUGGGCAAGUUCUGGUGUCAGCCGCCGCGGUAAAACCAGCACCUCAAGUGGUCAGGAUGAUUAUUGGGCCUAAAGCAUCCGUAGCCGGCUCUGUAAGUUUUCGGUUAAAUCUGUACGCUUAACGUACAGGCUGCCGGGAAUACUGCAGAGCUAGGGAGUGGGAGAGGUAGACGGUACUCGGUAGGAAGUGGUAAAAUGCUUUGAUCUAUCGAUGACCACCUGUGGCGAAGGCGGUCUACCAGAACACGUCCGACGGUGAGGGAUGAAAGCUGGGGGAGCAAACCGGAUUAGAUACCCGGGUAGUCCCAGCUGUAAACUAUGCAAACUCAGUGAUGCAUUGGCUUGUGGCCAAUGCAGUGCUGCAGGGAAGCCGUUAAGUUUGCCGCCUGGGAAGUACGUACGCAAGUAUGAAACUUAAAGGAAUUGGCGGGGGAGCACCACAAGGGGUGAAGCCUGCGGUUC